rnacentral:rRNA from 1 species
GAUGAACGCUGGCGGCGUGCCUAAUACAUGCGAGUCGAGCGAACAGACGAGGAGCUUGCUCCUCUGACGUUAGCGGCGGACGGGUGAGUAACACGUGGAUAACCUACCUAUAAGACUGGGAUAACUUCGGGAAACCGGAGCUAAUACCGGAUAAUAUAUUGAACCGCAUGGUUCAAUAGUGAAAGACGGUUUUGCUGUCACUUAUAGAUGGAUCCGCGCCGCAUUAGCUAGUUGGUAAGGUAACGGCUUACCAAGGCAACGAUGCGUAGCCGACCUGAGAGGGUGAUCGGCCACACUGGAACUGAGACACGGUCCAGACUCCUACGGGAGGCAGCAGUAGGGAAUCUUCCGCAAUGGGCGAAAGCUUGACGGAGCAACGCCGCGUGAGUGAUGAAGGUCUUCGGAUCGUAAAACUCUGUUAUUAGGGAAGAACAAAUGCGUAAGUAACUAUGCACGUCUUGACGGUACCUAAUCAGAAAGCCACGGCUAACUACGUG